rnacentral:rRNA from 1 species
CGCAAUGGACGAAAGUCUGACGGAGCAACGCCGCGUGAGUGAUGAAGGUUUUCGGAUCGUAAAGCUCUGUUGUUAGGGAAGAACAAGUGCGAGAGUAACUGCUCGCACCUUGACGGUACCUAACCAGAAAGCCACGGCUAACUACGUGCCAGCAGCCGCGGUAAUACGUAGGUGGCAAGCGUUGUCCGGAAUUAUUGGGCGUAAAGGGCUCGCAGGCGGUUUCUUAAGUCUGAUGUGAAAGCCCCCGGCUCAACCGGGGAGGGUCAUUGGAAACUGGGAAACUUGAGUGCAGAAGAGGAGAGUGGAAUUCCACGUGUAGCGGUGAAAUGCGUAGAGAUGUGGAGGAACACCAGUGGCGAAGGCGACUCUCUGGUCUGUAACUGACGCUGAGGAGCGAAAGCGUGGGGAGCGAACAGGAUUAGAUACCCUGGUAGUCCACGCCGUAAACGAUGAGUGCUAAGUGUUAGGGGGUUUCCGCCCCUUAGUGCUGCAGCUAACGCAUUAAGCACUCCGCCUGGGGAGUACGGUCGCAAGACUGAAACUCAAAGGAAUUGACGGGGGCCCGCACAAGCGGUGGAGCAUGUGGUUUAAUUCGAAGCAACGCGAAGAACCUUACCAGGUCUUGACAUCCUCUGACAACCCUAGAGAUAGGGCUUUCCCUUCGGGGACAGAGUGACAGGUGGUGCAUGGUUGUCGUCAGCUCGUGUCGUGAGAUGUUGGGUUAAGUCCCGCAACGAGCGCAACCCUUGAUCUUAGUUGCCAGCAUUCAGUUGGGCACUCUAAGGUGACUGCCGGUGACAAACCGGAGGAAGGUGGGGAUGACGUCAAAUCAUCAUGCCCCUUAUGACCUGGGCUACACACGUGCUACAAUGGACAGAACAAAGGGCUGCAAGACCGCAAGGUUUAGCCAAUCCCAUAAAUCUGUUCUCAGUUCGGAUCGCAGUCUGCAACUCGACUGCGUGAAGCUGGAAUCGCUAGUAAUCGCGGAUCAGCAGC